rnacentral:tRNA from 1 species
GCCGGGGUGGCGGAAUGGCAGACGCGCCAGCCUUAGGAGCUGGUGGGAUCACUCCCGUGAGAGUUCGACCCUCUCCCCCGGCACCA